AUUGAACGCUGGCGGCAGGCCUAACACAUGCAAGUCGAACGAGUGGCGGACGGGUGAGUAAUGUCUGGGAAACUGCCCGAUGGAGGGGGAUAACUACUGGAAACGGUAGCUAAUACCGCAUACCAUCGGAUGUGCCCAGAUGGGAUUAGCUAGUAGGUGGGGUAACGGCUCACCUAGGCGACGAUCCCUAGCUGGUCUGAGAGGAUGACCGGCUAUACAGGAACGUAGACACGGACAUGAAUACUACAGGAGGCAGCGGUGGAGAAUACUGAAUAAUGGGCGCAAGCCUGAAGCAGCCAUGCCGCGUGUAUGAAGAAGGCCUGCGGGUAGAAAAGUACUUGCAGGGAGGAGGCAUUACCAGCAGAAGAAGCACCGGCUAACGCCGUACCAGCAGCGGCGGUAA
rnacentral:rRNA from 1 species